rnacentral:rRNA from 1 species
AGGUUAAUGAGGCGAACCGGGGGAACUGAAACAUCUAAGUACCCCGAGGAAAAGAAAUCAACCGAGAUUCCCCCAGUAGCGGCGAGCGAACGGGGAGCAGCCCAGAGCCUGAAUCAGUGUGUGUGUUAGUGGAAGCGUCUGGAAAGGCGUGCGAUACAGGGUGACAGCCCCGUACACAAAAAUGCACAUGCUGUGAGCUCGAUGAGUAGGGCGGGACACGUGGUAUCCUGUCUGAAUAUGGGGGGACCAUCCUCCAAGGCUAAAUACUCCUGACUGACCGAUAGUGAACCAGUACCGUGAGGGAAAGGCGAAAAGAACCCCGGCGAGGGGAGUGAAAAAGAACCUGAAACCGUGUACGUACAAGCAGUGGGAGCACGCUUAGGCGUGUGACUGCGUACCUUUUGUAUAAUGGGUCAGCGACUUAUAUUCUGUAGCAAGGUUAACCGAAUAGGGGAGCCGAAGGGAAACCGAGUCUUAACUGGGCGUUAAGUUGCAGGGUAUAGACCCGAAACCCGGUGAUCUAGCCAUGGGCAGGUUGAAGGUUGGGUAACACUAACUGGAGGACCGAACCGACUAAUGUUGAAAAAUUAGCGGAUGACUUGUGGCUGGGGGUGAAAGGCCAAUCAAACCGGGAGAUAGCUGGUUCUCCCCGAAAGCUAUUUAGGUAGCGCCUCGUGAAUUCAUCUCCGGGGGUAGAGCACUGUUUCGGCAAGGGGGUCAUCCCGACUUACCAACCCGAUGC